GGAAGAGUGGCCGAGUGGUUGAUGGCACCGGUCUUGAAAACCGGCAACCCGCAAGGGUUCGUGGGUUCGAAUCCCACCUCUUCCGCCA
rnacentral:tRNA from 1 species